ensembl:miRNA
GCGGUCUGGGCUUGCUGUACAUAACUCAAUAGCCGGAAGCCCUUACCCCAAAAAGCAUUCGCGGAGGGCGCGC